GACGUAGGGCGCGAGCGUUGUCCGGAUUUAUUGGGCGUAAAGAGCUCGUAGGCGGCUUGUCGCGUCGGUUGUGAAAGCCCGGGGCUUAACCCCGGGUCUGCAGUCGAUACGGGCAGGCUAGAGUUCGGUAGGGGAGAUCGGAAUUCCUGGUGUAGCAGUGAAAUGCGUAGAGAUCAGGAGGAAUACCGAUGGCGAAGGCAGGUCUCUGGGCUGAUACUGACGCUCAUGCACGAAAGCGUGGGGAGCAAACAGG
rnacentral:rRNA from 1 species